rnacentral:misc_RNA from 1 species
ACAUACGUUUCCUGUUCUAAAAAUAGUCAAAAUGCCACCACCAGACAGAUGGGAGAAAUAUCAAGCUCUCGGAAAAGUGAUUCCUGGGACUAGAUUGAUAACAUUUAAAGUGCCGCUAAAAACAGUCAGUGGAUUUUUAUAUGAAAAUAAUAUGAAUGUCAAUGAAAUAAAGUUACAUUCUGCUUUUAUUGAUAAUCACAUUUAAUUAAUGAUAUACAUUAAUGUAUGUAUAAAUAUAAAAUUUUUCAAAGGAUGAAAUGAAAAGAACUACCAGUACUUAUACUGUCGUGCGAUCAGUUCUCGCCGAGUACCAUUUCUCGCCAGUAUAUUGUGACAUCAUUUUUUGUAUAUAAUUUUAUGUGUUAAUAAAAUGACAUCACAAUGCACUGGCGAGAAAUGGUACUUGGUGAGAACUGGUCACACGCUAGUAUAGCCUCUGAUAUUUUUAAUAGUUUUGAUUAUGUAACUUUUCAUGAGAUUAAAUGUACAACUUCAAAUUUUGUAUCUACAUGUAUUUAAUAUGACUAAAAUUUAUGUACAUGUGUAUGUAGAGCAAUGUUAUGUUUGUUAGGAUUAUGAUUGUUCUGUGGUCAUUGGAUAAUGCUAUCAGUAUUGUUUCAUUAUAGAUGCUGAUCUAUAUUUUAUAUAUACUUAUGCUUUAUUACAAUAUUUCUGUAUUUUUAUGCUCCCAAAUCUGCAUUAAACUGGUUGCCAUAUAAUGUUUAUUCAAUUUGUUUAAAUUUGUUUAUUUAGGAAUUAUGCGAAAAACUUCCUGAAGAUGAACAGUAAGGGAAUUCGAUGGAACCAUUUUAAUUUAUUUCAUGAAUGGAUUGUCCUUUAUCUAACAAAAUUAGUAUAUUCAAGAUGGUUACUUUAAUUCUUUUAAAGUUAAAUUGUUCACUUUGAAUCUUUGAUAUUUUCCAAAAUUGUCUCUUAACUUGCAUCUGAUUAUUUUGUGUUUGUUUUUUUAAGAUUUACUCCCAAAAAGCUGGUUGCCAUGGUGUCAGAACUAGGCCAUCGGCUAGGAAUGGUUGUAGACCUUACAUUUACCAAAAAAUACUACGCUGCAUUUGAAUUCAAAGGUCAGGGCGUAAGACAUGAGAAGAUUUUCACAGAGGGUCACAAUGUCCCAAAUGAUGAUGUUGUGUACAGGUUUUUUGAUACUCUGGAAAGCUUCUUUAAGGAAUGCCAAGAUGAAAACCAGGUAGUUGGGGUACACUGUACACAUGGGGUCAACAGGACCGGCUACGUUGUCUGCCGAUACAUGAUAGAGAGGCUGGGCUUUAACGCAGAUAAAGCUAUGGCAGUUUACCAUGAAGCAAGAGGCUAUCCUAUAGAGAGAGAAAACUAUAUAGAGGAUUUGCGACUCAGACAUUUAAACCUUGACUACAAGUAUGAGGGCAGAGAAAAACUUCCCAUGCAGAAGCAUCAACAAAACCGAAGACCAUACCAAAAUCGUGAGCAUAGACGAGAGGGAAAUGAACAGGAAUUUCAUCAUAAUCACCGACAACACGAAGAGGAGUACCGUGAGAGAUCCAGGUCACAUGACAUAGAGCACAGAAGAGAGCAUCAUGGACAGGAAUAUCGGAACCACAGACAUAACAAUAGGGACAGAGACUACAGUGCAGGUUUCGAUUUACACCGAGAUAUGCACCACCCUCAAUAUCCCGCUAAGUCCUACAAUAGGUAUGGGAAUCAGCCCUGGUCUCAGGAUCAAAGAGAUUACCAUCCUCCGAGAGGGAAUCACCAUUGGAACUCUCAGUCUGGCGAUCAACAAAACAGGACGAGAAGUGCAGGAAGAUUCCAGAAUUUCAGUGACAGAAGGAGAUUCAACAAUAGAGCUGAUUAUGACGAUGAUUGGAGACAGAGUCAUAUUGAAAUUCAUGAUAAUAAUCGUGGACAUGACAGUGAGGGAUGUUUUAAUCCCAAAAAUCAGCAGCCAUGGACAAAUUCUCGGAGUACUUUCAGACAAGGUUAUAGAAAUGGUUACAAUGAUGAAAGUCGUGAAUAUUAUGAGCGAAAUGGUAGAAAUCGAGGACAAUACCAAGGGGAUGGGUUGUAUAGAAAUCAAAGAAGUGGGCCGUAUGGGUCAAGGAAUAAUAGGCCUUAUCACAGACAUUCAGAAAACCAGUCGCAAAGGAGAAGUAGCGGUGGGCAUGAUAUAGGUGAAACAAAUAGGAAAAAUUCAUAGAAUUACAGAAUUCUUAAUCUAGGAAACAGAAAGUCUGCCGUCUUUCUUUAAUAUUUAUAACUGCAAGGAAAAAUCUUUCUGAUCAGAUUCCACCAAAUAGAAGAUGGAUCAAAAUCGGACCUUCACAAAACGAUGGAAAUUAAGCAUGACCUGAUCGUGUCUAGUCAGAAAGAAUGAUAAACACAAGUGAUCAAAACACUGAAGGAAGAGAAAUUUUAAAUCCCGAUUAAUGAAACCUCGAACACAAAUAGCUAUGUCUUCUGAAUGUAGCUGCAGGUCUGUAGUUCCCGGUCUGAAAAAAAUUUGGAUGGACGACCUGGGAGAUACAUUGAAUUGGGAAAAAAAUCCAUUAAAAAUGGUGUAUUUAUUACGCACAAAAACGUGCGCUAGUUUUGGACUGAUUAACCUUUUACGCAAAACCUGUGAAAACAAAUAGUACCAAUAUAUUCUUUAUGCAAUUUACAGCUGAUAUCAAUGGAUGGCUCUGAAGCUCCCAUAUCAUCCAUUUUAAUUUUUUCAGACCAGGAGCUACAGACCUGCAGUUAUUCUAAAUGGAACUACUAAGAGCAGCCUUCAUUGUUUAUGUUUAUGUUUUAUGAUAUCUAUUUAUGUAGUUUUAUUGAGCAUAAUGUACUUAAUAUUGUUUUUACCCUACAGAGGCACAAAAUGUUCUCUUUAGUCCAAUAAAUCACAUAAAAAAUGCUUAUAAAAUAAUUUCAAUGCAGGUAGAUUUAAAGUUGGUCAUAUGACAUACGCAUUUUUAACUGUUUCACUUUACUUGGUUCAAAGAUUAUGUCAAAACAUGUUUAUCAUUUUUGUGAGAAAAGGGCAUAUUUUUAACAGACUUUCUUUUCCAAUCCUUAGAUUUUUUGGCAUUUUCAGCACGUUAAAAAAUUGUUAAUAUUAAGAAAUGGAGCUUUUAAUUAUGAUAUUACUCGGUACAUAUGCCAGCACUGUAGGCACUGUUAGAUGUUGAUUCAUUUUAUCAGUUAAUUUUAAUGUUUUUCAGUAUUAAACAUCAACAGUGUUGUUUCAGCACUUCAAUUUUAUUAAAUUUGUUUAAAGCAAUG